rnacentral:rRNA from 1 species
AUUUUGGACAAUGGGGGAAACACUGAUCCAGCCAUCCCGCGUGUAUGAUGAAGGCCUUCGGGUUGUAAAGUACUUUUGGCAGAGAAGAAAAGGUAUCUCCUAAUACGAGAUACUGCUGACGGUAUCUGCAGAAUAAGCACCGGCUAACGACGUACCAGAAGCCGCGGUUAUACGGAGGGUGCAAGGGUUAAUCGGAAUUACUGGGCGUAAAGCGUGUGUAGGCGGUUCGGAAAUAAAGAUGUGAAAGCCAAGGGCUCAACCUUGGAACUGCAUUUUUAACUGCCGAGCUAGAGUAUGUCAGAGGGGGGUAGAAUUCCACGUGUAGCAGUGAAAUGCGUAGAUAUGUGGAGGAAUACCGAUGGCGAAGGCAGCCCCCUGGGAUAAUACUGACGCUCAGACACGAAAGCGUGGGGAGCAAACAGG